rnacentral:rRNA from 1 species
GACAUAAGUGGCGAACGUUAUCCGGAAUUAUUGGGCGUAAAGGGUGCGUAGACGGUGUAGUAAGUUAGCAGUGGGAAAUCGAAGCUCAACUUCGUGGAAAAUGUUAAUACUACUAUACUCGAGUGCAGGAGAGGUUAACGGAACUCAAUGUGGAGCGGUAAAAUGCGUAGAUAUAUUGAAGAACACCAAUAACGGCGAAGGCAGUUAACUAUUCUGUUACUGACGUUGAGGCACGAAAGCGUGGGGAGCAAAAAGG